UUGAAAUGGUGGUGGAGGUUUAGUUGAGUUGUUAUGGUUCAGUGAGGUUCAUGUUUUAGUGAAUGGAGUUGGUUGAAGAAGAAAGGAAGAAGAAAGGUGGGUUCUUUGAUGAGUGGUGUGUUAUAUGAACAAAGGUGGUGACAUGGGUUUCUUCAUGUGUAUGGUUUGUUGCUGAAACUCACCUUUACUUCAUUUUAUUCCAAAAGGUAGAAAAAAAAUAUUUGUGCAGGUUGUUGUGUUCAUGGAGUUAUGUAGUGGUGAGGUUGAAGUUUGUAUGAAGUGUGAAAGAUUUGGUUAUACUUCUAUCUGUUGUUCAUAAGAAGAGGGAAGAUUGUGGUUAUGUUGUGAUUU
rnacentral:lncRNA from 1 species